AAAAAUGCGGGAGAAACCAAUUCAAUUUGGGGCCGAAGGCGUAAGUUACUUGCUUGCCACAAGGAAUGAAACUCUCAGGCAGAAGGACCGUAUU
rnacentral:ncRNA from 1 species